CCUACGGGAGGCAGCAGUGAGGAAUAUUGGUCAAUGGGCGGAAGCCUGAACCAGCCAAGUAGCGUGCGGGAUGAAUGCCCUACGGGUCGUAAACCGCUUUUGCACGGGGAUAACACCCUCCACUUGUGGAGGUCUGCAGGGAUCGUGCGAAUAAGGGCCGGCAAAUUCCGUGCCAGCAGCCGCGGUAAUACGGAAGGCCCGAGCGUUAUCCGGAUUCAUUGGGCUUAAAGGGAGCGUAGGCGGGCGUUCAAGUCAGCGGGAAAAUCGCGGGGCUCAACCCCGCCCCGCAGUUGAAACUGGGCGCCUUGAGUGGACAAGAGGCAGGCGGAAUUCGUGGUGUAGCGGUGAAAUGCAUAGAUAUCACGAGGAACCCCGAUUGCGAAGGCAGCCUGCCGGGGUGCGACUGACGCUGAGGCUCGAAGGUGCGGGUAUCAAACAGGAUUAGAUACCCCAGUAGUC
rnacentral:rRNA from 1 species